CAGUAGCCGCGGUAAUACGGAGGGUGCGAGCGUUAAUCGGAAUUACUGGGCGUAAAGCGCACGCAGGCGGUCUGACAAGUCAGAUGUGAAAUCCCCGGGCUUAACCUGGGAACUGCAUUUGAAACUGUCAGGCUGGAGUCUUGUAGAGGGGGGUGGAAUUCCAGGUGUAGCGGUGAAAUGCGUAGAGAUCUGGAGGAAUACCGGUGGCGAAGGCAGCCAUCUGGCCUAAUACUGACGCUGAGGUACGAAAGCAUGGGGAGCAAACAGGAUUAGAUACCCCUGUAGUCCCUGUCUCUUAUAA
rnacentral:rRNA from 1 species